rnacentral:lncRNA from 1 species
UUUGAACCUCAAGGGAUCGAACUAAAAACCUUUAUGUUUGAACCUCAAGGGAUCGAACUAAAAUUAAUCCUAUAUCUACAAUCUGAUUUUCAUAAAAGUUUAGUACCGUAAAAAUACUACAAACAAAAGCUAUAAAAACAUUUUACAAGCUUAAAAGCACUUUUACAAAAAUCUCUCAGAAAUGGGAACCAAGUUCCAUUGGCGAUGUAAUAUAGAGAUAGCGACUAUAUCACCAAAGUAACAUGAAAUAAGGCUUCUCAAGUGCUUUUAUACGUAUAAGUAGAAUCAUAAUUCAACUCAACCCCAUGAAACGUUGAAAGCUACCGUGUGGUUCAGCUCUGUCAAUAGUUAUAUCCUUCCAUAACUAGCCCUGCCAUUGUUUAAAGCAUUCUGUGAGCUGACUCAAAGGUGGUCUUGGGCAGUAGAAGCAUACUAGAAAACAUGGAAAAUGCUUUUGAAAAACAGAGUGCAAGGUCCAUAUUACAAAACCAUUCUAAGCUGUCAACAGAAAUAAACACUAAAUUUAUAUAUAUGUAGUCUUAGACUCUUACCAGUACUCAUCAACCUUCCUCCCCCUUCUUUUGUAUGCCAGUACUCAGUUUAACUAUGUAGGCAGUGAUAGAUACAUAUCAAUACCUGUUUACCCCUCAAGCCUCAGCUCUAUGUGCAUCAUCUUCCGUUUGAGAAACAUCCUCGGAGGCAAUGGUAUUGCUUGUUGCCGCUACUGGAUUGAUCUCAAAUUUUGAGGGUAUAGAGGCAUCCUUGAAACCAGAAUCCAGAUCUUUGGCAGGAUCAACAGGAUGAGAUAUAUGGGAUUCAAACAUGCUUGGGGGUUCAGACCCUUCAGCUGCAAGCUUCAGCUUAACUUGAUCUGCAUCUCCCAG